rnacentral:lncRNA from 1 species
UAUUUUCGAACAAGUGCUCGCUGUCGUGAUUAUGUUCCCACUGCGAUUCGGGAUCAUUACCCGAGCAGCGUGUUUAGCACCCAAGAAUGCACCUACGAGGUUUACAUUAAUAAUCUUUUCGAACUCAGAUUUUUCGAUGUCAAGAAUGCUGGGAUUUGGUACUCCACCUAUACCAGCAUUAUUGUGCAGAAUAUCUAAUUUCCCAAAUUUGUCAACAGCUGUGUUAACUGCCGUUUCUAUAUCGGAUUCUUUAGUUACGUCACAGUGGACAUAAGAGGCUGAUGAUUUACCCAAUUCCUUGCAUACCUUCUCUCCCAAAUCGUCGUUGACGUCUGCAACCAGAACUUUAGCUCCAUGUUUGGCGAACAAUCUGGCAGUUGAUUCGCCGAUUCCAGUAGCAGCACCGGUGAUUAGAGCGACCUUGCCUUCCAGUCUAGUUUCAAACAUUUCGUUAGUACAAUAUUCAUAACAUAUCAAAGUAAAAUGCCUCAAGAAUCAAAAAAUAGUUCACAAUUUUUUACCAGAAAGCAUUAUGAACAAUGAAAGAGUUAUACCUUCUAAUGAAAGAAGCCAUUUACGAACUUAACGCAAUGAACUUUAACGCGGUGAACUUCUUUGCGGUGAAUGAAUUGAUAAUUUUUCUGCACUUUUUAACGUCUUUUAUAGUGCAAAUUCUGAAGACAGGACAUCUACGCGCAACUAGGCAUUAAUUUCUAACUAAUAUGAAAAAUCUCUCUCCUCGUCAUUUCCAACGCAAGUGGGCAUUUAUAUUUUUUGACUAAUUUGAUUUUGCAGAUAAUUAUUACCUCUUUCCUCGUCAUCUCCAACGCAAGUAGUCAUUUUCUUACUAACUAAUACGAUUUUUAAGAUAUUUGUUCUCUCUUUCCUCGUCAGAUCCAACGCAUUCUGACUAAUGUUCUCUCUUUCCUCGUCAUUUCCGACGCAUUUCUGACUAACCUCAUUUUUCAGAUAAUUUUUACGUGCCUAAUUUUUUUCAUGUUAUUUGUGACUAUUUAGAAAAUAAAAUUGGUCAACUUAUUAGUCUUGUGAGUCGCAUUAUAGUCGUAGCAUGAUAGCUCGGUCCAUUUAUUUUAUUUAAGUAUUGUUGGAGAAGAAAUAAUAUAUCAAUAUUGGACUCAUUCUGUAGCUCACAUUGAAUAAUGUAUGUUGUGCUCAAGAAAAAGUAAAUUCAUAUAAAUUAAGCCCAAGUCACAAUCAUUCAAAGAAAUACGUUUAAUGAAAAUUACUUAAUAACUUAAGUUUUAAGAUAAUUAGCAUAAGAUAAUACUUAUUUUAUUCUGUUUUUCAGAAUGUGCAUAAACGCUUUCUUUUCUGUUUCCUUUAAGGAAGAAAAUUCAAAUUCUUAAAUUCAAAUCAUUUAUUGUUUGGUCGUCUCUUUCAUUCUUCUAUUGUUAGAUAAAAGAGAACGUACACUCCAACCACUCACCUACAAAGCUUUGUUCACAAUCUAAUUUUUUUUUUUUUUUUUUUUUUUUUUCUUUUUGCCUUUUUUUUUUUUUUUGUUUUUCAUUAUGCCAUUUUUGUUAUUGUUGACCUCGGAUUUAAAUUGAUUUCUAUUCCGUAUAUUUCUUUCAACAUUUGAAUUUUUUUUUAGCCAUAUUCUCAUAUCCUCGAUUUCGAAGAAAAGGAUUAUAUUCCUUAAGAUGGACUCGUAUCCGAAUUUAAGUAUCAUAUCAAAGAGAUCCACGCUAAAGAACCUGAAAUAAAAAGGUUAAGGUAAUUUAUCGUUGUCCAAAAAAUAUGUACUUAUUCAUUUUAUUAUCGAGUUAUGCACCUUUGGGUUACAUCUAUAAGCAAGGGAGAAUGUACCAAGUUUCAAUGUCUACUGUAAUUAAUAAACUAAUACAUUUUAGUACAAUGGCUAAUCACAUUAACAUCAUCAUUUUUACUAACAAUUUAAUGUAAUUUAAGAAUUAACAUAAACGUCAAAAUCACUACAAUCUAAUGCGAUACAGCUAGUAUAUAUGAGUACAAUUUAAUAAUUUAAUAAUAAUUUUAAAAUUAUUAUCCACGCAUCCCAGUUGUGUUUUUAAAAUUAUUAUUAAAUUAUUAAAUUGUACUGUUAAAUACUAGCUGAACAUCAUUAGACUGAGUGAUUUUGGCAUUUAGGAUAAUUCUUAAAUUGCAUUAACAAUGUUAGUAACAAUGAUGAUGUUUCUUUAACAAUGUUAGUAACAAUGUGAUUAACCAUUGUACUAAAAUGUAUUAGUUUUUAAUUACAAAAGACAAUGAAUCUUGGUGCCUUCGCCCUUAUAGAUGUAUACCAAAGGUGCGUGACUCGAUAAAUAAGAUGAAUAAGUACACAUUUCAAUUGGGCAAUAAUAAAUUACCUUAGCCUCCCUUCUUCUUCUUCUUUUUAUUUUACUAUUAUUAAUUUUUUCAGAUUCUUUAGUGUGAAUCGCUUAAAUUUGGAUACGAGUACAUAUUUAGAAAUAUGAUCCUUUUCAUCUAUAGUAGAGGAUACGAGAAAACGACUAAUUUUGGACGAUGUGUACGUCUUUCAAACUUAAUUUUUUUUCUUUCGAAAUUUAUAUAUUAAAAAUUAGCCUCAACUUGGCCAAAUUUAUAAAUUAUUUAUAAAUGAUCAAACUUCAUUUUCAAUCAACAUUUCAACGGAUCCACAAGAAGUAUUCACUUAUCCACCAACCAUUUUUAUUUAUUUAUAAAUUGUUGGAAUUUUAAAAUUCGAUUUUUCUUCCAUUUUGUUCCAUAUCCAUCAUUUAAGGAAACAAAAAUUAACACACUGGAAAGCAUAAUUUGUUACCCACAUCUAUGAUCUAUCUUAUCUUGAUUUAAAACAAACAAUGGAGUACAAUUAAGAUAGAAGAUAAACCUUAAUCUUUUGUAAUAUAAUAAUUAUAUCUUAUGCUAAUUAUCUUUAAAAAAUUAUAAAAUAAUAUUCGUUAAAUACGUUUCUUUGAAUGAUAGUAAAUUAGGCUUAACCUAUGCGAAUUUACUUUGCACACCCUACCUUUUUUAAUGUCAACUACCAAACAAGUCAAAUAUUAUUAUAUUUUUUCUUCUCCUAAAAUACUUAACUAAGCAGAAUAAAGCAAGGACGAAGCUGCAAUGCCGGGGUGGGGGUUGAACCCCCACAGGCUCCUCACAAUACAAGGGGUUGGCGUUUUUGGGAUAUUUUUUAAUGAGACAUGUGAGAGGCCUCGUGAAAUGGGGCCUAUACAUUCAAUUUUAUUCAUAAAGCAAAAGGAUGGAUUGAGUUGUCAUGGUACCUUAAUGUAAUUGACGAAGCUAAUAAGUGAAUUGAUUCUAUUUUCUAAAACAUACAAAAUUAAGCACGUGAAAAUUAUUUGAAGCAUUACGAUAAUUAAUUAUUGUGGACACAGGUAGGUGGAAAUAGACAACAAUUAUCUAAAAAAAUCAGAUUAUGAAGAAAUACCUAAUUCCAUUGCAAAUGACGUGGAAAUUACGUGGAAAGAUAUAAUAAAUAUUUGAAAAAAUCAGAUUUAGUUAGAAUAAAAUGCCUACUUGCGUUGGAAAUGACGUGGAAAGAGCGUACAAAAAUCAGAUUUUUUUAGAAAUAAAUGCCUACUUGCGUGUAAAUGUCUUUAUCCUCUUCAUGACUACAUUAUAAAAGACUUUAAAAGGUGCAAGGAAUUACCAAUUCACAUUCGCAGCAAAGAAGUUCACUAUGGAAAGUUCAUCAAUGAUUUAGACUUUUGUUAGAAGGUAUAGCCCUUUAAUUGUUCAUACUGCAUUCUGAUAUUUCCAUGUUCAUUUCUCCUGUUUCUCUUAACUUAAGUAAAUAUUGAUUUUAUUACAAGGCAAUUGUAGAAAGCCAACUAUAUUUCCUGAUAUUAUAGAUAAUGUCCUCUAGUAAAAGAUAGUUCUUCGAGUAUUAUCAUUAAUACACAUGGAUCGAGACUUAAAGGUUGUUGAAUUAUGUAGAUACAGUUCCUUUGAAAUCAUUGGUGAUUAAUUGACGAAUAUGGUGUAUCAACCUCUCUGUGGUUUCUAACUUUUCAUUGGCAUGUUGGUUUUAUUCUCUUCAUUAUUUAGAAAAAGUAAGCUUUCGAAUUUCUAUGCAAGUAUGUAUAUAUAUACCAUCAUUAUUGUCUAGACAAUUCAGCAUAUAAUCACGUAAUGUGAUUGAAUGACGACUGAAUUAUAAGAAUGAAGAAAUUUUGGUUGAGAAUUUUUAUACUGGCAUGGACUGCCCCAUUUAAGUGACUAAUGAACAAAAUUGAUUUGUUAAGAUGUGAUUAAAUAUUUGAAGAGUUGCUUGAUUUGGCUAAACUUUGAUGUUGAUGAAAAAUACAACUGUUUUAUUGAUUCUGGUGCUGUUUCAUUUGGCUAAACUUUGAUGUAGAUGAAAAAUACAACUGUUUUAUUGAUUCUGGUGCUGUUAUCGGUGAUGAAGCCGGGGCGGUGGUGGCAGCUCAAUGGAAGAAAACAGUUGGACAGUGCAAGUUGAGAAAUGGGUUCAUUCUUGCAAAGGAGAGUGGAUUUCAAAUUGCAGUGCUUGAAUGACUUCCUCAUAGUAGUUCAAAUUCUUUGAAUUGAAUUAUUUGUGUCCACCAAUUUCAAUCAUACAUAGGGAGAUGCAGGUGGGUUGAUGUGGGGUAAGCUGACCCCACAAUUUUUUAUUUUUUAUUUUUGAAUUCUUCUUAUUUUAUUUAUUUAUUUUCACUUUUUAUCUUAUCUGCACCUCAACUUGUCCCAAACUUCAAAUUCCAAUGCACCUAAAAUUGUCAUUUUUCACCAAAUAAUUUAUAUUUGUUUCUUAGCUGGUUUGCACAGACGCCAAUGAACAACCAUGUUGAUUAGAUUUUUUAUGGACUUAUGGUCCAAAUAUUUUUCAAAUUUUUAUAAUUUUAUUGAGAUAUAUUGGUGGAUUCUUGCGCUUUUGAGCAUCUCGGCCGACUUAUUUGUUAGAAAAAAAGGUUCCUGCUUUUUGCUAAAUAAAUUAAGUUCAUACUCUAUAAUUGUAUUUUUGUUGAAGAAAUUUGUGCCGAUUUCAGUUUCGACUUCGAUCUCAUUUCCGAAGGAAGCAAUGACCUACCCUAACUUGGUGGUUUUGGGUUAUAGGAAUAUUAGAAUUCAUUGUUGGAUACUUAUUUUUAUGAAAAUUUUUUUCCUAUUGUGCUUUAAGUAGAACAUAGCACUGUGUAAUUUGCCCAUUGAAAUUGAUUUUAUUUUUAUGGUUUCAAUUAAUAGAAUAACAUUCAUUUAUUUUUUGAGUUUCACAUCAAACAACCAUGGAAAAAUAAUGUAAAUGAAAAUCUCUAUAUUCGAGUGAAGAGUAAAAUAUUGGUGAAACGAAUGUUCAAGUGAAAAAGGCAUUUGAAAAGUAUUAUUUGUAACUUAAUUGUUGACCCCUCCAUAAAAAAAAUGUCCAGCUCUGUAACUGGUUGCUAUGGUGUUAUUAGAUAUUAAGUCUUUACUUGUCCAUACAAAUUGCGGUAUUUGCUAUUUCAUUUCUCGUGGGGGAAUAUGGUAGCCACAAUGUAGUAAUAGCUUUCUUUUCGAUUUACAGGGUUGGUAUUGAUAGAAUGAUUGUAUAUUCAUCAUUUUUUACAAAUUGAACCAACUUUAAUUUCAAAUCUAUCUAAACCAAAUCACCUUUUUCGAUUCGGUUUGAUUUAUUACAAGUAUUACAAACCAAAGUUAUACACUUUUAAUCAUUACAAUGCAACAACAUAAUAAAAAUAAUUUAGUUUUAACUUCUUAUUUGAUACUAAUUGGUGCAACCAUCUUUUCACUUAAUGAACUAUUAAAGAAAUCAAGAAUCCAACCACUAGUAGGGAGUGCAGACUGAGAAGCAAUUGCGAAUAUUUGAAUUGCUAACAUAAUUUUACCAAUUUGGGAGACAAUUUUGUACUUAUUUCCAUUCAAUUUUCGUCAAAGUAAUAUGUCGAAAGUUUUAAUUGGACAAGUCUUCACAACGACCAUUUAAGUACUUCAUCAAAUCAUUCUAACAAUUAACGGUAAAAUUAUAAAAUAAAUUUUAAAAAAAAUAAUAAAUUGAGUGACUUGACCAGGAAAGUAAAACGUAUAUAAAUAAAAAAUAAUGUUCAGCUAAAAAUUUAAGGACUUCCACACAAAUCGAACAAAGCAAUACAACUACCAAUAGAUAUAGCAAAUAGUUACCAAAAAAAUAAGAAAAUUAGGUAAACUGGCUUGAAAAUUAAGCCAAAUUGGAGAAAAAAAUAUCAGUAAAAGGAAGAGAAAUGAUGCGAGUUUGGAUUAAAAUUUAGAUUUAAUUAUCUAAUCAAUUGUGAUGGGCUACUGAUAAAUAUAUUUCAACAGCAAUCAUUCAGUGCUUUAGCCAAUUUGAAGGUUUUACAUUCACAAUUUUGAUCACUAAUGGGUAAUAGAAUAUGGUUUAAUUAAUUAAUUGUUAUGGUAAUAGUCUAUUUGGGUUGGGUCUAACACGGAUGUAUCGUUUUAAUUGUGUUGGAUAUAAUUUAAAUUAAUUUAUUUUGAGAUUAAAACAGUUUGCAUUAAUUGAAAUCUAAAUCAAAUGACUUCGAAGCGACUUGAUUCGAUUCAAAAUCAAAAUGUUGAUGAACAAGUUAUUUCUCUAUAAUGGGAAUUCAUGCUUUGAUCCUUCAAAAUAUUAACUAUUAAAACCAAGUACUCAUUGUACUCUUAUAUAUUAGCUGUAUUGCAUUAGAUUGUAGUGAUAUUGACAAGUUGGCAAUGAUAGGGACAUUGCCCAAAUCAAAUUACAAGACAAGCGUAGUGAUAAGAAAAUUACAAAUAUCGACGUGGAAACACAUCACACUGAGCUGGAAAAGGGAUUUAGUUAUAAUUAAUGCCUACUUGCGUCCGGAUAUAUGAUUGUUUUGUGUCUUUAGCAGUCCUUGCACUAUAAAUACGUUUACAAGUGCAGAGAAUUACCAACUCAUAUUCACAGCAAAGAAGUUCUCAGGAUAUUUGAACUGUGGGAAGUUCAUUAAUGGCUUCGACUUUUGUUAGAAGGUAUAACUCUUCAAUCGUUCAUACUGCAUUCUGAUAAAAAAAUUUGUAACUAGUAUAUAAUUCUUGAGGCAUUUACUUCUAAUAAAUUGAACUUUUUUCUCAGAGUACAAGUGCAUGUUAUUUUGAUACUUGGGUUGGCAAUUGUCACAAAAGUUUUCAGUAGACUAUUAUAAAUAUGUUGUACUAACAAAAUAUCUGAACCUAGGCUCCAAGGCAAGGUAGCACUAAUCACAGGUGCUGCUAAUGGAAUAGGCGAGUCAACCGCCAAACUGUUCGCCAAACAUGGAGCUAAAGUUAUGAUUGCAGACAUCAAUGAUGAUUUGGGAGAGAAGGUAUGCAAGGAUUUGGGAAAAUCAUCAGCCUCUUUUGUCCACUGUGAUAUAACUAAUGAAUCAGAUGUAGAAACUGCAGUCAACACAACUGUUGCCAAAUUUGGGAAAUUAGAUAUAAUGCAUAAUAAUGCCGGUAUAGGAGGGAAAGCAAAUCCAAGCAUUCUUGAAAUCGAAAAGUCGGAGUUUGAAAAGAUUAUUAAUGUAAACCUCGUAGGUGCAUUCUUGGGUGCUAAACACGCUGCUCGAGUAAUGAUCCCGAAUCGCAGUGGGAACAUAAUCACAACAGCGAGUACCUGUUCAAAAAUAGGGGGUGGUUCUUCACACAAUUAUGUAAGUUCAAAACAUGGGGUGGUAGGACUCACAAAGAAUAUGGCUGUGGAGCUUGGAAAAUAUGGCAUUCGAGUAAAUUGUGUGUCGCCACACGUAGUUCCUACCCGUCAAUCUAAGGAAUUCUACAAAAUGGAUGAUGAGGGAUGCCGUGGUGUGUAUUCCAUCCUUAAAGGUGUGUUUCUUAACCCAGAGGAUGUGGCUGAAGCUGUUCUGUUCUUGGCAAGUGAAGAGUCAAAGUUUGUGACUGGACACAACCUUUUUGUUGAUGGAGGCAUCACAAUUGCAAAUUCCAAGUUUUGCAUGUUUGAGUAAUCUCUAUAAUACAUUUCCUAGAUUAUGUUUCUCCCUGUUCAGUUCUCAUGUUUAAUGUACCUAUCUCUCAUGUUUGUCUGAACUUUAAAAAAUAAAAAUAAAAAAAUAUUAAUGUUAUUAUUACAAGGCAAUUGUAGAAGUUUUUCUGAUAUUUUAGAUAAUGUCCUCUAGUAAAAUGGCAGUUGUUUGAGUAUUAUCAUUAAAACACGUGGAUUGAAGCUGUUGAAUGAAAAAUAAAAAAUAUGUCGAUCUAGUUCCUUCGAAAUCAUUGGUUAUUAACUGGCGAAUUUGGUGUAUCAACCUCUUUGUAACUUCUAACAUAUUGGUCUUAUUCUCUCCAUUUUUCAGAAAAAGUAAAUCUUUUUUCAUUCAAAUAGAGCAACUUGACAGUCCCCUCUCUUUGUAUUUUGUGACAUUGGUGGCCAGUCGAACUGUCAAAAUUUCCUACAUGUGACCAACGCGUUUGUCACGCAAUAUAGAGCUAACUUUCAUAGCUAGACGCUACAACUGUUUUGUAAUAUACUAGCGUGGAUUGCUUUAGAUUUUAGUGAUUUUAACAUUUAUGACAACUCUUAAAUUGUAUUAAAAUUGUUAGUAACAAUGAUGAUGUUAAUGUAAUUACCACUGUACUAAAAUGUAUUAGUUUUUUUAAUUACAGAAGACAAUGAAAGUUGGUGCUUUCUCCCUUUGCCUAUAGAUGUAAACCAAAGGCACGUGAUAAAUAAGAUGAAUAAGUACAUAUUUCAAUUGGACAAUAAUAAAUUACCUUAGCCUUUUUAUUUUGGAUUCUUUAGCAUGGAUCUCUUUGAUGUGGUGCAUAAUUUCAAAUACGAGUACAUAUUUUGGAAUAUUUUUCUUCGAAAUUUAUAUAUUAAAAAUUAGCCUCUAUUUGGGAAAAUUCAUAAAUUAUUUAUAAAUGGUCAAAUUUUAUUUUCAAUAAUGCAUUACAAUAGAUCCACAAGUAAUAUCCACUUAUAUACAACGCAUUUCUAUUAAUAUAUAAACUAAAACGCUCAUACAUUCUUCCCAGACAGAGGCUCAGAUGUAUUUUGUAAGCUUACAUAUGGCAUGUUUGACAUGUAAACUUAAAAAAUAUAAUUGUAAAUUGUAAUAUUUCGUUUAAAAAUUAAAACAUAAAGUCAAAAAAUUAAGCAGGGUGGAGCCAUGAAAUGAUUUUGGGUUGGCUAAAAUUAAAAUUUAUAAAUAAGUUCACACUACGAGAGAUCGAGUUUAGGAGACUGUGCUCAUUACAUUCAUGGCUAAUAUUAUCAAACGCUCAAUGAAGUACACGUUUAGAUGUUCAUCCUAAAAUGUCCAACUAGAUAUUAAUCUUAUUUUUUUAGAAAUACGUAAUUCACACUCAACUUAGAAAAUAAGUGUAAAAACCGACAAGGAAUUUCAAAGGUAAAAAAAUGAUUUAUUUCACAUCCAUAUUUGAUUCAGCUUCCAUAAUACACAUAUAAUUUGAUUAUUUAAAAGUAAAGAAGUUCUUAUAAAUAUUAUUUUUAUUAUAAGAUUAAUUAUAAAGUAAGUUACUUAUUUUAAUAGUAAGAUCUAUUUCAUGGUCAAAAUAUGUAAAUUUCUUGCUUAUGAAUAUCAUGAAUAUAUUAUAUUUGAAAAUAGUUUUAUAAAUAAAUAAUAAUAAUUACUUUAACCUUUGCCAAACAUUUAGUGUCAAAAUAUGUUUUCAUGUGGUUGAAAAGCAUUCUUUUGUUUGUAAAAUAACUUAUUUGUGUUGGUUGAACUUAUGUCUGUUGGUUGAGGGAAUGGAAAGUAUUUGUUACAUUGGUUGGUACAUUUUAUUUAUAUGAUAAAUAUUUGGGUUAGUUUUUCAUCUAAGCUUAAAAUAAUUAAUUAGUUUAAUGUUGUUUAUCAUGGUAGCUUGUACUCAAAAAUAUUUUAAUUUUCAUCUUAGCUGAGUUGGAAUUAGAUUUGUGUACUUAUUAUAGGUGCUGGUAAUCAAAUAAAUAAAUUAAAAAAUUAAAAAAUUAAAUUAAAAUUUAUGGCUUGCUGUUGGUUUUGCACGCCGUAAAUGCUAACGAGGUAACCUUUCAUGGCGUGCGAUUGCACACCGUUAAAAGGAAAAACUUGCAUUUACGGCGUGCAAUCACACGCCGUUAAAAGUAAAACUCUCAUUUUUUACGACGUACAUGUGUACGCCGUUAAAAGGAAAAAAUGCAUUUUCGCUGCACGUCGUAAAAAAUCAUAUAACUAAUAACGGCAUUCUAAAAUGGCGUACUUUGUAAGCCGUAAAAAGUUGACACUUAUUACGGCAUUGCUUUAUACGGUGUGCGGCCGCACACCAUAAAGGUGUUUUUACGGCGUGCUUAAAAAGUCUGUUUUGUUGUAGUGAAUAAGUGAUUUAUUUUAGCUCUGAUCUAUACAAUUUAUUUAUUAUAAAAGUUUAUUUACACUCUCUCCGUCCCAUAUAGGGCCGGUCCUGUGAUUUUCGAGGCUCGAGGCGAAGUCCAUAAAUUGGGCUCCUCCUCACGAAAUCAACGUAAAUGCAAAAUUCAACGGUAUAUCUUGCAUGCUAUUGCUAACUUAAAACUUAACAUUAAAACAACAAACAAAUAUAUUAUUUCAACGAUAUAUUAUGCAACCUAAUGUCCAAUGAUUAACCUAAAAGAAAUUAUGAAAUAUCUCAAUCAUUUCACAAUUAGAGUUUUCAAUAUAGUUACUACGCGCGCCUGUACAAUUGUUGAUCAUAUAAAACCAAUCAUAUAACCCGACCAGACCACCAUUAUAUAAGCCGACAAGGCUUCAAAUAUUUCUAACAUAUUUAUUAAGAAGUUAGAGCAAGCCAUUACUAAUCUGAAAAGUAGAAUUUUAACGAAAAUUAUGGAAUAACACAUUUUAGAAUUCCACCGUCACAACUCAUAAGCCUGAAAUAAAAAUUUUAUCAUUAGACAAUUCCCUAUUGCUGCCUUAGCCAGUCAAGAACGCUAAAUAAUAAACAGAUACCAAACGUUGUAGGUUCAAAUAGGACACACAUUCUUGGAUCAAGAUGUGUUGAACAAAUUCCCAUUUUUCAUUUUGCAAAUCCAAUAACAUUUUCGAUUAUUUAUGCAAAAAUUUGAGCAUUAUGAAUUUACAGAAACAAUACAAAAAUUAAAAUGACAUCCAGACUCUAUAGUUGUCCCAAAAAAAUUGUGACCUUAUCUCGAUGAAAUUAAAGUGGAUCGUCGAUCGCACUAUUACAUGCAGGAGGGAAAACGAAUGAAAAACCAAAUUUUCCUCUAACUCCCUAAACCCUAUAUAUAUAUAUAUAUAUAUAUAUAUAAGGUACCAAAAUUAGGACCCCUUUGGUUUUGGGCCUAAGGCGUAGGCCUCAAUUGCCUCGACCCAGGACCGGCUAUGCAUAAAGAUAAUUUUGUUUCCAUUUUCAUAGAGAUUAAGUUAGGAAAAAUAAGUUAGAGAAAAGUAGGUUCUUGCAAUUUUUGCCAAUAAAUAUGUAUUUUUGACACUGAAAGAAGGUCAUUUACUCAAAUGCAACGUGAUGCAGUGUGGUAUCAGGUGAGAUAAUGUGUGUGGGAAUGGAAAUGAAGAAAUAAUAUUAAUACUAGCUGUGAAUCUAUAUUCUUGAUUGUGUGAGUCUACUGGACGAUACAAUGUGUGAUGUGGCUCAUAGUUGUAUGGUACAUAGAGAAUCUUGAAAUUGCAUAUCACAUAAUCACGUGCCUAUGAAAUGUAACGUGCCUAAUGGACAUAGCAUGGUAAGAAAUAUAAUGGUUUGAUAGGUUGCACUAUGUCGCAAAGACAUGACCCCCACACUAGAACUUGACGAGCUAUGGCGACCGCUCUUGCUGGCUCAGUCAAAAAAAUAUAUUGGCAACUGCUCAAACAGCCACGCAUAAUUGAGCUACCAUAUUAAUGUCUCUUACCACCACCACCACCGUCGCCUCCAUCUUGGUUGGGAAUGAUGACAAUACUGAUGGGGACACCACUGGUGGUGACACUGCUGUUAAACGCACAAUCUUGGCUAGACUUGCUUGUUGCAGUAGUUGGUAGCUUCAAGAUUGUGGGUUACAUCUAUAGAGACCACAUGAAUGCUUUCUUUACACAGUUUCGGGCUUCAUUGAAGGUUAAUUCUUGCCCAUUUAUUCACUUUAGUAGAUUACAAGAUUUGUUAUUUGACAACUUUUGGCUUUCUUGAAAGAAUAAUUUGUUUUAAAUUGAAAAGGGGAACGAAAAAUGGUUUCUUUUUGCCAUGGAAGCUACCAUAGCUCAAAUAAUUGAAGCUAAAAUAUUGGUUACAAUUAAGAAUUUUUGGAGAAGAUCUCCGAAGUGGGUUUUGGGAAGUAUGUUUCUAGUGAUGAGUUGAGACAGUAAUAGUUUCUUAUUGACCAUGUAUUGGCAUUUUGGGUGAUAUCUCGCUUCCCGUUAGAUGGAUCCAUUUUAGUGAUUUGGGUUAUAUAUAGUAUGGUUUUCACUUGUCAUCCUUGAGAGUUAGCUUGAUGCAGCUUUCUUUUGUUUAAUCUAGUAUUAGUUGAAAUACCAUUGCAACUGUGACAGGUGAAGAUAUGGGUUCGAAAGGUAUGACGUGUAGGCAGAAAUGGUCAAUGAUCAAUGACGUCCUAGCUCACUCCAAUUCCUGGACUCGCCAUUGCACCAUGCGCAAACCUUUAAAAGCUUUCAUACAACAUAAUUAGUACGCAUUACUGGUUACUACCCCUUAGAAUUAUAUUUUUCCAAAUGUCAGAUUUUAAAAGACGGAACUAUGAUUGUGCACAUUCAAGUUACUUCACCCCAUUUAACUUAUAAUAGGAGAGUGUGACCUGUGCCCUACCCAAUAAUGCAUAUCCACUCGAACCCGUCAAACCAUGGCAAUAAUAACAAGUACAGAAAUUUCAUAUUGCCCUUAAUUAGCCAAUUGAAAUAGGAAAAUAUCUUGAGUUAAGAUGUUACUUAAACCUGUGAAUUCGGUGCACACAAAGCUGGCAAGGAUAACCUUAAAUAAAGGGAAAAAAAAUAUAAAUUAAACAAAACGUCAAGAAGCAGUCUUGCAACAUAUUGUCACAUGAUGAAAUAAUAGCCUAUAAAAAUCCUCAACAGAAUUGCAAAAACUUGAGUUCCAAUGCUCAGUGAAAUUGUAGAGUUCAAUGCCACACUGCAUAGCUAGAAAUCACUUGAAUUUUAUCCCUAUUUAGAUGCUGAAUAUGGUGCUCUGCAAACUCAAUUCUACCACCAAAUAUUCUACCAACAGAAUCCAAUGGCUUAUGAACAAUUACGACUACUUCAACCAGAGACUGACCAAGUAACUCAUACGACUAUUUUCUAAUAUCAAAAUAUAUGGCCUUUGAACAAUCAUAAGAUUACUUCAACGAGAGAUUGACCAAGUAACUCGUAUGAUCAUUUUCAAAAUCGACACAAAUUAUUAAUUCUAGCCCACCGAAUAUAUGAUGUGUUCUUAAGAUGAAUUUGCCACUACAACAAAUAUAGCUUUUGUAACACAUAAAAGGCAACAUUCGUUAAUCGAAUGUUGCAAAAUGUGUCUACUACAACGUUAGAAUAUGUGAAUGCUGCUAUUAGUUAAAAUAAUUGAGAUUUGGCAACAUUUUUAAGCCGUUGUUGCUAAUGUCAGCUUUUUGCAAUGUUUAUUUAGUGUUGGGAAAAGUUUUAUUUUUCACAACAUUUAAUAUCUGUUGUUGAAGGUUCGACAUUUCGCAACGUUUUCAACGUUUAGAAAACGUUGCGAAAAGAUAACAUUUCACAACAGUAGACGAACAUUGCAAAAAGAUAAAUUUACAACAGAAUAGAAACGUUGCAAAAAGAGAACCUUUUCGCAAUGUCUACUAAGCGUUGCAAAAAUAUCUUUCACAACGUUUUGGAAAAACGUGGCGAAAGAUCAGCCCACAUGUAAUUGGAUCAUAAAAAAUAAAACUAUUUCAUGGCCCAUCGCGUGACCCAAUUCAAACUAUUUUAUGGCCCAUUACAAGACCCAAUUCAAUUACACCCCAAUGGAGACACACAAGACAGCAUAAUUCAGUUUUCUUGCACUUCUCAUCGCCUUCUUCUACCUGCAAACUCGUCCCUCUCACGAAUACUUUGCUGGAAAAUUGAUUUUGAUAUAUGAGUGUUUUAUGUUAAGCUUAAUAUGCUGACUUGAUGCUUCAAAAUUUGUAUAUCUUCAAGGUUCUUUUGGAUAAAGUGCAUGUGUGGUCAUUAGGAUUUGUUUAGAAGGUUUAUGUCAUAUUUCCAAGGAGCUCUGAUUGGUUUUAAACAGGACAUGAUUAAUCUCAUUUUCAUGUGCUAUCAAAAAGAUAUAUUGCUUAAUAUAAAAGCAGGUGAAUUAAUUUGCAUAUUUUACUAUACAAUAUUUAAAAAAUUUUAAAAAAUAUUGGUUAAUAUAAAAGCAGGUGAAUUAAUUAAAAAUAAGUUUAAAACUGUUGCUAAUUAAUUAGAGCAAUGACAAUAUUUGGAAAAAUGUUGCACAUAGGUUAAAGGCAACGUUGAAGAAAUGUUGCAAAAAAAGGUAAAUAACAACACUUAUAAAAUGUUGUGAAAAAACUGGUCGUAAGUUUCGGCAACAUUUUUAAAGUGUUGCGAAAUACUAUUUUCGCAACGUUGCAAAAAACUGUUUUCGCAAUACUUUAAAAACAUUGUGAAACAGAAGUUUCACAACGUUUUUUGAACGUUACGAAAUACUAUUUUCGCAACGUUCAGAAAACGUUGCCGUAUCCUUUCCCUCUUCAGCAACAUUUUCUGAACGUUGCAAAAAGCUUACUUCGUUGUAGUGUGCUCAAAGAACCAACUGCAAUUAGAUUUUGUAGGUGUAAGUACAUUGUAAUUCCUCUGAAGUUAGUUAGGAUUAGGAGAAAUUUUCUAAUAUUUUUGAACUAUAAAAUUUAGUGCUCUGUGUCAUUAUUCAACUAACAUUUAUAGAUGUAUUCAUAUCAGGUCUCAAUUAGAUAGUGAGUCUCAAAUAUUUAAUACACAUAUCGAUUAAAUUAACAAGUUUCACAUCACCAUUUACAUCUUUUUCAGAUUGAUGAGGUGGCAAUAAAUUGAAUUAAUCCUAUAAAAUCUCUUCACCACUUAAACAAUUGUGCUCAUGUAACGUUCAUUAAUGGUAAAAAGUGUAUUUUAUUUGUUCAAUCAAAUCUAGCCACACAAUUUGUUGAUAAACAAAUUUGUAAGUUGUGAUAUACGUACAACACAAUCGAUUAAAUUAAUAUGUGUAUCAAUUAAGCAGUAACAAAGUGCAUUGUGUACACCAUACUUCAAUAGUAUGAAAAAAGUUUACCAGAAAACUUACUUUUAAUACUCACACCCCAAUGUUGACUCAGAGAUGCCUUAUGGUACCAAGAUUCAAUUUAAGUUUCUCCUAAAAAAAAUGUUAUUAGCUCGAAUCCUAAGAUGAGAUAGAAAUUCGUAAGGAAUGAGAUGAUUUUAGACUCUUUCAUAGCGGACAAUACAUAAAUUAAUGAUUUGGGCACAGAGGUUAGGUCAUUACAGAUCAAUGACUAAGAUAUAAAUAAGUUCAUUGGCCUCAAAUGUGAGAAGUAAUGUGCUUUUGGGAUCUCCUUUUUUAAAUAACUGUUAAGCAAUAAGCUUGUGAUUAAAUGCUUGAAUUUGAUGGGAUCCGCUUGAUCCCAAGGAGCAUAUGAAGUAACUUAAUUCCAUUAACUUUAUAUUGCCCUACUAUUUAUGACUUGUAUUUGAUUUGUUUCAGUGCAGAUUUUCCAUAAAACUAUUGCAACAUACAGUUUCAAUAUCAGUAUCAUAGAAUAGACGUUACAAAAUAAACCAGCAAUACACUUGAUCAAACUAUGAAACUUAAGAGCGAAAUGAUAUUAAAGAAAGAAUAUAUUCGUGUUAUGUUUAAUAUGUUGAAUUGAACUGAAUCAAACAGGAUCAAAAAAGAUUUUCAUUCAAUAUCCUAUCUAGUACACGUGAAUUCAAUAGAAAACUUCUUCAUUAGUCUCUGCCCUGUGGACAAUACAAAAAUUCCUUUUUUUUUUAAAGGAAGAUAACACCAACAACAAUCAAAGAAGCAAAAUAGUGAGCAAUUGGAGUGAAAAGCAGUAACAUUCUUGAUGAAGACUUAGCAAAAGACUAAUAGACCUUCACUUCUUUGAUUUCCUUGUAGUGUCCUCUUGCAGAAAGUCAAGCAAAACAGUGCUCUUACAUUUUGGGCAUUUCGGGUCCUUUUCCAAUAGCAUAAUAUACAUGAGACAUCGAGGACAACCGACCAGCAUCAUCGCAGUCGAUUCAGGGCUUCGUAGAGUUUCAUCCGAGCUAACUUCCAGAGACAAACAUGAACUUGGAGAUGAUAUAUCUGAAGAAGAAAUUGAUCGAUUGGGAGAUUCAACAUGAAUAUAUGCCCUUGGUGGGGAUAAAUUCAGUUUCAAAUCAAGCUUUGGACCAUUGGCGUUGUAACUCAUUUUCUUGAAUACCACUGUAGACAAAACCAAAUGAAUCAGGAAUAUGACAAGAAUUUAGUUCAGUCAACAAGAAACUAUAUAAAUGAGGAAGAUAAUCAAUCAAACAGUAAAUCAAAGUCAAGAUUACAGUUAAGUAGGCAACUAUUUUCAACCAAACUUUGAAAUUUCGAGGCUGAGAUUCUAGAGGAAGUUUCUGAUGGCUCUUUCAAAACGUCAAGGGAAUAUAAAUACAGGAGGGAGGGUGAGAGAGAGAGAGAGAGAAGUAUGCAGUAAUCUAAUUGAAUUGAAGUUUAAAGAAGAGGAAAGUGGUAGUAGAUAAUUAUGUAUAUUCAUUGACAGUGAAGAAAUCAAAGAAAUUUGGUUGCAGUGCGCAAAUUAGAGUUAAUGUUUGCAACUAAAAUUGGCUAAUAUAGCUUCAUUCAUUGCUGAUAAUGUUGGUUUGCUUAUUACAUGCAAUAGGUGUAAUUAAAAUCCCAUCAAAAGGCCUAACUGCCAGCAGCAUCACAAUUUUUUCCAUUUAUGAACUCAUAAAAUAUUCAUCCUUUUAGAAAUAUACAUCUUUGUUGUGUACUUCCAUUCGUUGACCCCAUAAGCUAAGAAAAUUAUAUAACCUAGUCGACCAGACAAUAAACAUGAUUAUAGCUCGUUUUUCUUCUUAUAUGCUAUCUAGUCGACUUUAGCAAACAUGCAGAUAAUGGUCUCAUGGUUCGAUUAGAUAAACCUCAAAACCCGGACAUAGACAUUUAAAUAGUGUGUAUUCCUCCGUAUUGUACAUAUGUAGCUUGCACGAACUGUCCAACAUAAUGAGUAGAGUAGUACUAUUCAUACUAACUCACUACGACAGUCGUCCUACGUGUCAUACAUCCAUGUAGGACGACUAUCGUAGUGAUUGACUACGAAUAACAUUAUUCUUUUGAUUAACAUUGUUCAGUAGUUUAAACUGUGUUUACGAUCUUUAUUAUUAUUUGCUUUUGUACAUUUAGGCCAUGUUUGAUGGUCAUUAAUUGGCAAAAACAAAGAUUUUAAUAGUAAAAUUUUUUUGGAGAAUGUGGUUAAAAGUAAGAAAAAGUUUUGGGUUUACAUACAAAAUAUUUUAUUUUGUGAACAUGUGAUUGAAAAUGAGGGAAAAAAAAAAAAAAAGGAGUAGAGCUUUGAAAUAAAGGACAAUGGGGUGCUUAGUGUUGUUUAUGUACCAAAGUACAUAGCCGCCUUCUGGUAUUGUGUCAAGGAUGGACUUUGAUUAAGGCUGCGGACUACAUUGUAGGUUUGAGUUGCAAAAGUUGCCUCACGGCACUCAACAUGUCACGCUCUACGUAAAUUACAAAGCACGGAUAGGUGUGUCACAAAAGCUUGACAAGCAUGUUUAGAAUAAAAUUCAAAAUAGAAAAAGCUAAAAAUCUCGUACAUAUCAUAGUAGUUGAAAGUUGUCGAUAAAUGAAAUGAAACCCAAAGUAUUCGAAGUAACGUAAUAUUAAAACUGGAAGAGUUUAAACCAAAUGGUAGUUUUUCUCAUCAUUUUCCAUGGGGACAUUUUGUGAAGAAUAAGCUCUCGCAUCGUUUAAUCCAAAGAAUGACUCUUUUAUUUCUGGUGUUAGAAGGCUCCCGUUUCCAACAAUGGGAGCCGAACUCCCACAAGAAUGCCGUUACCUUGCUUUUUUCUUUUUACUCACAAUUUUCCCAGUUUUUCCUUGGAGAAAAGCUUUUGCCUAAUGUUACAAAUUAUGGGAGUACAUCUUUAACUACAACUUAAAAGCAUAGCCUCCAACACAACUUGUGCUAAUUAUAAUUUCAUCAUUUACUUCAGAUUUAUUAUCUAGCUCCAUAAUAUUUGUAGCUGGAUUAAUUAAAUGUGACUUAAUGAAGACCUAAUACGAGUAAAAUAAUAAAUGAGAUGGUAACUGCAAUAAAAUAGUAAGACGAAAUAAAAUAACGAGAUGGCGCUUUAUUAUUAAUACAUAUUUAUGCCUUGCCUAUGCUUGAGGUACUUAGUUCAACUAACGUUAUUAAUGCAAAAGCAUGAAAUUUCCUAGAUUGUGCUAUCACAUCAACAACUAUGUUGGCUGAAGUGAAGGGUCAAGAUUUGAUUUUGCAAAACCUUUUUUUGGAGGAGCAAUUAAUGCUAUUCAUUACUAUUGGUGUUAAGCACCAGUAUGAGUAGCAACGACACAUAAUUAAAUGAUAAAUUCACUUAAAUACAAUAUCACAUAAUUUAUUUAGUGCUUGUUUGGUAGGGACUUUAUUAAUUGAUUUUUUGACUGUUAAAGAUAAAGUGAAUCCUACUUGUGAGAGAAGAAUUCAAAAAUUACGGUUGUAAUAGUAAAAUAACGGUUAAAAAAUUGAUGUUAAUUGGAUUAAAAUCAUUACCAAACAUGCUUUUAAUUGAAUAUAUCAGGUAUGACAAUCUAGACUGGUGCUAGAUAACAUUUUUUUUUUUUUUUUUUUUUGGAGACACUAGUAUUAAACACUUGGGCAUAUACAAGAAGGAAGUCUAGUGUAACUUCCAAUAGCACUAGUUUUGUGGGUUCUGCUAGUAAAAUGAUUGAUGCAGGCAACGAAAGAGAGAAGAAAUUGAGAAUAGUUCAACAAAAAAGAAGAACCCGAGAUGUCACCCAGCUUGGGUGAUGAAAGCGUCGCUAAUCACUGAUGUCACUCAAGAUGACUAAGUCCACAAUUGAUUAAUUAAGAGAAAGAAAACUCCAAAAUAAGACUACUGGAGAAGUAAAUUUUUUCCUUCCCCAAAGCUGGUCCAUUUCUGCUGAUUUGCCCCCAAAAUAAAUCUAGAGACGUGACUCACAAUUGAUAUAUUAAUGAAGAAUAGACAUUUUUUGGAAUAUUACAUUAUUUUAGAUAUUUUGAUAAUAGUUCCAAGACAAAUCCAAAACAUAAUAUUUUUGAAACUUACACUAGACCUAUUGAGUAAUUACAAUCUAACCUAAUCAUGAACGUGUAUCAUUCUUCUCCACUUGAGAAGAAAUCUUAAUGCCCAAAGACAAGUCUUUUCAAAGUGCUUAGGAAAUCGUCUAGCUCUUGAACUAAAAUUAUGCAUCUUCAGAGUGCGAAUCUUUGUUGAAAUGAUCCAAAUACCAUAUUUAUAGAAUAUCGAUGCUUUCAAUAGUAGAAGUUGUAGGCACAUUGCGAUGAUAAAUGAAAAGCUAGAAGCAACAAAGAGGUUGAUACACCAUAUUCGUCCGUCAAUAACAAAUGAUUUCGAAACAACUGGAUCUUCAUAUUUUUUAAUUUUCAUUCAAAAACAUUUAAGUCGUCGAUCCAUGUGCAUUUACUGGAGGACAUUAUCUAAAAUAUCAUAAAAUAAAGUUGGCUUUCUGCAAUUGCCUUGUAAUAAAAUCAAUAUUUAUACAAAGCUAAGAUAAACAGGAGAAAUAGGUUGAUUAAACAUAACUUAACAGGGAAAUAUUUUCUGGAAAUUACUCAAACAUGCAAAACUUGGAAUUCGCAACUGUGAUGCCACCAUCCACAAAAAGGUUGUGUCCAUUCACAAACUUUGACUCAUCACUUGCCAAGAACAUAACAGCUUCAGCCACAUCCUCUGGCUUAAGAAAAACACCUUUGAGGAUGGAAUAUACACUACCAAAUCCCUCAUCGUCCAUUUUGUAGAAAUCCUUUGAUUGCCGUGUAGGAACUACGUGUGGUGACACGCAGUUUACUCGAAUGCCAUAUUUUCCAAGCUCCACAGCCAUAUUCUUUGUGAGUCCUACCACCCCAUGUUUUGAACUUACAUAAUUGUGUGAAGAACCACCGCCUAUUUUCGAACAAGUACUAGCUGUUGUGAUUAUGUUCCCACUGCGAUUUGGGAUCAUCACUCGAGCAGCGUGUUUAGCACCCAGGAAUGCACCUAUGAGGUUUACAUUAAUAAUCUUUUCGAACUCUGAUUUUUCGAUUUCAAGAAUGCUUGGAUUUGAUUUUCCCCCAAUCCCGGCAUUAUUGUGCAUUAUAUCUAAUUUCCCAAAUUUGGAAACAGUUGUGUUAACUGCAGUUUCUACAUCGGAUUCAUUAGUUAUAUCACAGUGGACAAAAGAGGCUGAUGAUUGUCCCAAUUCCUUGCAUACCUUCUCUCCCAAUUCAUCAUUGAUGUCUGCAAUCAUAACUUUAGCUCCAUGUUUGGCGAACAGUUUGGCGGUUGACUCGCCUAUUCCAUUAGCAGCACCGGUGAUUAGUGCUACCUUGCCUUGGAGCCUAGGUUCAAAUAUUUUGUUAGUAUAACAAAUUUAUAAUAGUCUACUGAAAACUUGUGUGACAAAAUUCCUCAAGAAUUAAAUAAUAGUUACAUUUCUUUCUUUCUGUUUUAUCAGAAAGCAGUGUAUAUGAACAUUUAAAGAGUUAUACCUUCUAACAAAAGUCGAAGCCAUUUGUGAACUUCCCACACUUGAACUUUUCUUGCUGUGAAAGUGAAUUUGUAAUUCUCUGCACUUUUAAAUGUAUUUAUAGUGCAAGGACUGUUAAUCAUGAAGAGGAUACAGACACAAAACAACUAUAUAUCUAAAUCAAUUUUCCAGCUAAGUGUGAUGUGUUUCCAAGUCGUUAUUUGUAGUUUUCUUAUCACUAAGUUUUGUCUUGUAGUUCGUUUUGGGCAAUGUCCCUAUCAUUGCCAACUUACUUGUCAAAAUCACUACAAUCUAAUGCAAUACAGCUAGUAUAUAAGAGCACAAUAAGCACUUGGUUUUAAUAGAUCAAGCUUUGAAGGAUCUAGGCAUGAAUUUUCAUUAUAGAGAAAUAACUUCUUCAAUUAGAUGAACCAAUAAAAAUUGAGUACAAUAAGCACUUGCUUUUUUGAUAAUUUAUUUUACUUUUUUGGAGCGGGUUCAUGUCACAAGCUCUUCCUGUUGUCCUGUUGCUAAUAUCGACGAUCACGUCACAAUUUGAAUGGAGGUUCCUCUCUUUUUUUUUUUUUUCCUUUUUUUUUUUUUUUUGGUAACCAUUUGUUAUAUUUUAUUGGUAGUUGUGUUGUUUUGUUCUUAUUUGUGCCAAACUCUCUUAAACUUUUAGUUGAACAUUAUUUUUGGUUUAUUAAUGCUUCAAUUUUCUAGUUAGGUUACUCAAUUUAUUAUUUAGCUUUAAACUUAGUUGCUAGAUAUUGUUGUUAAUUGCUAGAAUGAUUUGAUGAAUUACUUAAAUAUUAGUUGUGAAAAUUUGUUGAAUAAGCUUUUUAAUUGGUCACAAUAAUAUGACAGAAUUUCAAUUUUUCAAAGUUAGUCACUUUGUUAGCUCCCGUUACUAAAUUUAACAUCUCAAUCUAGUGAUGUCAAUGGAUCGAGCCGGCUUAACCUCACGAGCUCGUGGCUCGUUGAAGCUUGACUCGUUGAUUUUGGGCAAGCUCGGCUCUGCCCACGAGUUCGUCGCUCGUCCGAGCUCGUGAGUGACGAACUCGUGGGCUGAGCCGAGCUUUGGCUUGCGAGCUCGCCAUCUUUUUUUUUUUUUUAUAAAGAAAAACACAAAUAAUGUAAUGAAAAUACUUUUAAAAACAAUAAAAAGUGUUAAAAAAAUGCAAAUAAUUUAAUGAAGACACUUUUUUCUUUUUUAUUUCUAUCAUAUUGUAAUAUUUUUUAUAAAGUAUAAAAUAUUUAUAUAAUGAAGACGAAUUGUUUUUUGAAAUACAUUUACAAAAAAUACAUUUUUUUCGAUUUCUUUUUAAAGUAAAUAAAAUGUAAACCCUCCUCUUUUAUCCGGGCUUGGGAUCGGCUACAUCAAUUUUAAGUAGGUGGAGUUAAAAAUUGUACACAAACAACUUGUUGUAACGUGUACAAUUUUUAAAAGAAAUUAAUUUUAACGAUUAAAAAAUAAGAAAAUUUUGAUUAAUAUAAUUAAAUCAAAUAUCACUUACUUGACGACAUACAAUUUCAGCGUAUUUAUCUUAGAGUCGAAAAUGAGCGUUAUGUCAAUUUUUCAUGCACAUUAACACUUUCAAAACAUCUUUUUUUAGUCGGCUCUUGACAUCAAUCAAAACCCUUUUAUUUACACUAAAAGUAGACUCCGAAACAACAAUACUAACCGGAGGUGUCAGUAGAUAUUUCGCAAUUCUAGAAACAAUUAGCCAACGUCUUUCAUAUUUUCGCCAGAAUUCAAUUACUUCUUCUAAACUUUUUUUAAUUGUUCUGUCUGAUGGUAUAUUAUGAUUGAAGUAAUCAAUUAAUUCAACAGGUAUCACAUUUUAAGUUGCGACCAAUGUUUGAUGAGAUGCAAAUGUAGACGAGAUGACAUUAGAUGAACACAUUGCAGUUGCAUCAUAUCUAAAUGUAUUAAUGCCUUGAAAUAAAUUCAUUAUUUCGGCAUCAUCUUCUUCAAUUUUAGCCGAAAUAGUAGAUGCAGAGGAUACCCAACUAACAUUUGCACACAUUCUUUCCGCAUAUAAAUCUCAUAUUUCACAUAAUGUUUGCUCUAAAUUUUUAUAGGUGAUAGGUAUAUUAAGUAUUAAGGCUUUAUUGAUUUGAUUAAUUACGUAUGUAGUUCCCCAAAUAUUAUAUCGGAUGUCCAUUGCGCAUGCUAAAGAAAAUAAUAUAAGCAAUUCUUCCCAAUAUUUUCUAAACUUUAAUUUUAUAACAAUUAUAAUUUCACUAAAAGCAUGACAAUUCUUAUAUUUAUGGAAUGUUCUUGCAAUUAUAUAAAGGCGUUCAAACACCAUACAGCUUGUGGAUAAUAAAUGCCGGAUAAAAUUUUUGUGGUCUCAUAAAAAAACGUAAAAAAUCGUUUAACUUUCAAAGCUAAAAUCCAAUCUAAUUCAUUCAACGUACCAUCAUCAUCACUUCUAACGUGUCUAUUAUUAUAAAAAUCAGUUAUUAAAUGUUUGAAACAUUUACAUGACUUUAAUAGCAAGUAAGUAUAGCUCCAUCUAUGACCUACAUCGCUAACAAAUAUUUUAGCAAUCGUCAUCCCUAGUUCGGCACAAAAACCUUCAAAUGCUUGUUUUCUACUAGGAGAUAUCGUAAUAUAUACUAAUGCUUUCAUAACCUUUAAAGUUCAUCCUUUAUAUGUUUUAAGUUAUCUUGCACAAUUAAAUUUAAAAUAUGACAUACACAACGAAUAUGAAACAAAUACCCACCAAAAUCAGAUUGUAGUGUCCUACACAAUUUAUCGACGACUACCUUAUUAACACUAGCAUUAUCAAAAUCAAAAGAUCGAAUUUUAGUCUCGCAAUUAUAUUCUCUAACAAUAUUGAUAAUAGCAUUAUAUAUAUUACUAGUAUUGUGAGGAAACUCAAUAAUUCUAAAAACAAUAUUUUUUUUAUGUAUGCACCAAAAUGUGUCUAUAGUGUGCGGUUGCAGCUAUAUAUGCUCUUUUAUUAACCCCUUCCAUAUAUUAGAAAUUAAAGAUAUAGCACUCCCAUAUUGUUAUAAAUCCAUAAUGAAUCGUUGUUUUGAAUUAUUGAAAUAUUUUAUUGUAUUGGCACGAAAAGUAUUUCGACUUACCCCAACGUACUUUGGUUGCAAAUAUUCUUUCAUGAAUGAGACGAAGUGUUGGUUGUUUGCAAUAGUCAGAAGCAACUCAGUGGCGGCAACAAAUUUCACAAUUUCAGUCCGAGUAUUGUCCUCCGAAUACACCCAUGUGGAUAGGGGUGAAGUCGUAGAACCGGUGCCUGGACUGCUAAAUUGCAAUUGUGUUUGACCAGUUUGAAGAAGUCUAUGUCUGGCCGCACAUGCUUUGUAGUGGCAGUUGAGAUGGGUGGUACUAAUUCCUUUUUGCCAUGCCAAUCUUUUUUGGUAGUAUUUAUAUACUGCCUUAGAUUCUGCAAGGCCAUCGACGACUUUUUUCGUUGAAAUUAACUUAAAGUGAUCCCAAUAUUUUGCUUGUUUUUUGCCCUUUCGCUUUUUCCUUGCAUCUAGAAUGUUUUAUUUGACAUCUGCGUCCUUAUGUUCCGCUACGGGAACAUUAAUAUCACUCAAAUCAAUUGGAUUGUGGUUUUCAUGACCGUAAAUAUGAACAUCUUCAGGUAUGGGUACGUUAUUUAGACCGACAAAUUCAUUUGGAAAUUGACUUUGCGGCGUUCUAGGCGAUUUGCCAUGUGGACCACAUCCCGUAUCGAAUAAGCUCUCGACAAAUGAGCGUUGAUCCAUUUAUUUGAUUGUUUAUGAUAAAAUUCAAAUAUAAUAACUAGGAAAAUAUAAAUGUAGUGAGAAUUGAGAAUUGGAUGACUUGAAAUUGUAACUGAAUAAACUGUAAAAAAUGAAUCGAUAUUGUAUAUUUUGCAGCACAAAAGAGUAAAAACUUGAUAAUUGAUAUAAUAAAAGAGAGUUAAGAAAUGAGAAGUAGUGAUUGAGGAGAUAACUGAUAUGAAAAAAGGGGGGGAGGGUUAAGGGGUAUUUAUAAUAGAAGCAAAAAAAAAUUUUAAAAAAUAUUAGUGACCAAACGGUCACUAAAAAAGUGACCAAAACGGUCUCUUGUUUUGGUCACUAAAGUCACAAGCCACGAGCGGCUCGCCUUUGAGGCGAGCACCUCCCGACGAGGUCGGCUCGGCUCGCGCUCGAGCUCUUGAUUUUACGAGCCCAAGCCGCUCAUGAACCCUAUUUCGACGAGCCGAUACCUUUUGACAUCCCUAUCUCAAUCCUACAUGGAUGUCUUAAAAAGAAUAAUAUUACUUGUAUAUAAUAGUUUACAUAAAUGUGAGGUCAUAAAAUUGAGGGGGUAAUUUUAUAUUUUUUUUUAUUUGGUUGAAAAAAUUUUGAUCAAACCAUAUUUUAUCACAUUAUGUAUAUGUAAACCAUUAUGUACAUGUAGUGCAACGGUUGAAAAUAUAUCCUUGACUACUAUGAAUGGGAAGAUGACGUCAUAAGAAAGGAGGAAUACAACAUUCAAGCAUUCAAAACCAUGUGUUGGAAGGGAAAGUAAAGACAAAGGAAAUAUUGUUGCUACGAGCACUGAGAAUUCUGGUGUAGUGAAAUCGGUAACAGGUAUCAUAAAUGCCUCUAAAAGAAGGUUGAAGUUAAUCAUUUUACGGAAGAGCAAGACAAGAAGAAAAUUUGCAAAUCUUUGAAGAGGAAUCUGAUGGAGCAAUUGAUGAGAAAAGUUACAAGCCUGAUGGAAGCGGAACAAUAUUUUCAGGACUUUAUAUUUGUCAACAGGAAAGAAAUGUUGCUUGCUGAUUGAAAAUAUAAUGUUGAAACACAUGAUGGGGAAAAGUUAAAACUUGUGUGCUUAUCCUAAUCGUAAGGUUUUUGGUUUGAGAAAGAGGGGACAAUGAACUGAACAUUUUGAACCAGGUUCUGUAUUGGAAAGUAUAAAGAUGAGCUUCAAUUUAUGCUCUUCCUAUGGAUGUCCGCCUCUUCUAGGUAGACAAUAUGAUUGCAAUGUGCCUUCAGCUUGAAGCUACCAAAUAGAUUGUUGAUCGUCAUUUUUUUUUGUCGUGGGUUGACAGAAUAGUGAUUUCACAGCAAUAUCUACAACUUCNAACUUCUACUAUUGAAAGCAUUGAUAUUCUAGAUUUGAGGAGCAUUACGGCCAAUGGCAGAUCUAAGCGAUGGCUAGCUAGGGUGGCCGCCUUAGCUGUAUUGGUUGGAACCGUCGAAGAAUUUUUUUUUGUUAACAAUAGAUUAAAUUUUUAUAUUAUAUUACUUGUAACUCAUUUCAUUUUAAAACUUCUCUAGCAACUCAGUUGGUUAGAGCUUGCAUGUGCAUAUUUAAAGUCUUGGGUUUGAAUCACUUGCCAAUGAAUUUGUUUUGUUUUAUUUUUAUUCUAUAAUUUUUAUCAAAACUCAAUAAGGAGGGGGAUAAAAGGGAUUUGAACAUGUGACCAUUUGGAAGGGUUGUUCUAAACUUAAUCAUUACGGCAUUUCUUGAGUUGUGUCACUAAAUUUAACAAAAUAAUAUUUGUUAAGUUUUAAUGCAAAAACAAUUGCAAAGAUUUGAAUUUGCGCUCUUACUUGAAUUUAUACAAAACUUGGCACCAAUGUCAUUCGAUGAGUUAUUUUUAUAAUAGAACUAUAUAUGUUCAAUUUAAGCAAAGUAAUUGUUUUAUUUAAACUUUAGGCCUUGUUCAAUUCCCAUUUUUUUCUCUUCUUUUUAUUUACAUAUUUUUCAAUAAAAUAAUAUUAUACGCAAAUUCAAAAUAUUUCUUUAUUUUUAGCCAGCUUUUUCCAUCAAAUCAUUAUUUCAAAAUGCAUUUUUUUGCAAAAAAGAGGUAUAAAUUAACUAUUAAUAUUUUAUUACGACCGACGUAAAUGGUCAACAACUGCCCGUGCUGACUCAAACUUCUGAAUUCGUCCCUAAUUAUGGCAAGGUGUGAAACCUAUAGAUAUAGUAUUUGGUUCAUUUCAACGAAGAAUCACAUCCCGAAGAUGCAUGGAUGUUGGUUCAAGAGCUCAAGAAGAUUUCCGAAGCAUUCUGAAAAGAGUUGUCUUUGGGCAUUAAGAUUUCUUCUCAACUAGAGAAGAAUGAUACACGUUCAUGAUUAGGUGUGAAAUAAAUCAAUGAGUUUUGUGUAAGUUCCAAGAAUAUUACGUUUUGAAUUUGUCUUGGAAGUAUGCUCUAAAUAUCUAAAAUGAUAUAAUAUUCUGAAAAAUGUUUAUUCUUCAAUAUGUAAAUCGUGAGUCACGUCUCUAUCUUUAUUUGAGGGGUAAAUCAGCUGAAAUGGUCCAGAUUUGAGGAAGGAAAAAAUUACUUUUCCAGUAUCCUUGUUUGGAGUUCUCUCUCUUUUAAUUAAUCAAGUGUGUUGAGUCAUCUUGAGUGACUUCCGUGAUUAGCGACAGUUUCAUCACCCAGACAGAGUGACAUCUUGGGCUCUUCUUUGUUGUUCAAAUAUUCUCAAAUUUUUCUCUUUCAACUGAUGCUAUUGGAAAUUGCCUUAGUCUCCGUACUUGUAUAUGCCCAAGUGUUUAAUUGCAGUGCCUUUAAAAAAGAAUAAUAUUAUUUAGUAUUAGUGUUAGUAUCAUAUUCGAUAUGUUUAAUUGAAUGAAUUAAAUGAUAUUGUAUUUAAGUAAAUUUAUCAUUUAAUGUUAUGCAGUUGUCAUUUAAAAUUGCGCUUGGUGAUUAGCAUUACUCCACCAAAAAGGUUUUGCAAAAUCAAAUCUUGACCACUUCACUUCAGCCGACAUAGCUGUUGACCAUGUUCCAAAAAGAGCCUUUGCCUCGUAACAAUGAUAAAACAACUACCAUUUAGUAAAGGACAUUAUCUAAAAUAUCAGAAAACAAAGUUGACUUUCUGCAAUCGCAUUGUAAUAAAAUCAAUAUUUAUAUAAAGUUAAGAUAAACAGUAGAAAUAGGUUGAUCAAAACAUUGUAACAUAACAGAAAUACAUAUCUAGGAAAUAUUUUCUGGAGAUUACUCAAACAUGCAAAACUUGGAAUUCGCAACUGUGAUGCCACCAUCCACAAAAAGGUUGUGUCCAUUCACAAACUUUGACUCAUCGCUUGCCAAGAACAUAACAGCUUCAGCCACAUCUUCUGGCUUAAGAAAAACACCUUUGAGAAUGGAAUAUACACUACCAAAUCCUUCAUCAUCCAUUUUGUAGAAAUCCUUUGAUUGCCGUGUAGGAACUACGUGCGGUGACACGCAGUUUACUCGAAUGCCAUAUUUUCCAAGCUCCACAGCCAUAUUCUUUGUGAGUCCUACCACCCCAUGUUUUGAACUUACAUAAUUGUGUGAAGAACCACCGCCUAUUUUCGAACAAGUACUAGCUGUUGUGAUUAUGUUCCCACUGCGAUUUGGGAUCAUCACUCGAGCAGCGUGUUUAGCACCCAGGAAUGCACCUAUGAGGUUUACAUUAAUAAUCUUUUCGAACUCUGAUUUUUCGAUUUCAAGAAUGCUUGGAUUUGAUUUUCCCCCAAUACCGGCAUUAUUGUGCAUUAUAUCUAGUUUCCCAAAUUUGGCAACAGUUGUGUUAACUGCG